rnacentral:rRNA from 1 species
GGCUCAGGAUGAACGCUAGCUACAGGCUUAACACAUGCAAGUCGAGGGGCAGCAUCAUCAAAGCUUGCUUUGAUGGAUGGCGACCGGCGCACGGGUGAGUAACACGUAUCCAAUCUGCCGACAACACUGGGAUAGCCUUUCGAAAGAAAGAUUAAUACCGGAUGGCAUAGUUUUCCCGCAUGGGAUAAUUAUUAAAGAAUUUCGGUUGUCGAUGGGGAUGCGUUCCAUUAGGCAGUUGGCGGGGUAACGGCCCACCAAACCUACGAUGGAUAGGGGUUCUGAGAGGAAGGUCCCCCACAUUGGAACUGAGACACGGUCCAAACUCCUACGGGAGGCAGCAGUGAGGAAUAUUGGUCAAUGGACGAGAGUCUGAACCAGCCAAGUAGCGUGAAGGAUGACUGCCCUAUGGGUUGUAAACUUCUUUUAUACGGGAAUAAAGUGAGGCACGUGUGCCUUUUUGUAUGUACCGUAUGAAUAAGGAUCGGCUAACUCCGUG